rnacentral:rRNA from 1 species
AACGAACGCUGGCGGCAGGCCUAAAACAUGCAAGUCGAACGAACCUUCGGGUUAGUGGCGCACGGGUGAGUAACACGUGGGAAUGUGCCUCUGGGUGCGGAACAACGUCGGGAAACUGACGCUAAUACCGCAUAAUGUCUACGGACCAAAGAUUUAUUGCCCAGAGAUCAGCCCGCGUCUGAUUAGCUAGUUGGUGAGGUAAUGGCUCACCAAGGCGACGAUCAGUAGCUGGUCUGAGAGGAUGAUCAGCCACACUGGAACUGAGACACGGUCCAGACUCCUACGGGAGGCAGCAGUUAGGAAUAUUGGACAAUGGGGGCAACCCUGAUCCAGCCAUGCCGCGUGUGUGAAGAAGGCCUUAGGGUUGUAAAGCACUUUCGGCUGUGAAGAUAAUGGCAGUAGCAGAAGAAGAAGCUCCGGCUAACUUCGUGCCAGCCGCCGCAGUAA